GACGAACGCUGGCGGCGUGCUUAACACAUGCAAGUCGAACGAUGAACUUGGAGCUUGCUCUGGGGGAUUAGUGGCGAACGGGUGAGUAACACGUGAGUAACCUGCCCUGGACUCUGGGAUAACUUCGAGAAAUCGGAGCUAAUACCGGAUAGGACCUUGCACCGCAUGGUGUGGGGUGGAAAGUUUUUCGGUUUGGGAUGGACUCGCGGCCUAUCAGCUUGUUGGUGAGGUAAUGGCUCACCAAGGCGCCGACGGGUAGCCGGCCUGAGAGGGUGACCGGCCACACUGGGACUGAGACACGGCCCAGACUCCUACGGGAGGCAGCAGUGGGGAAUAUUGCACAAUGGGCGCAAGCCUGAUGCAGCAACGCCGCGUGCGGGAUGACGGCCUUCGGGUUGUAAACCGCUUUUAGUAGGGAAGAAGCCUGCGGGUGACGGUACCUGCAGAAAAAGGACCGGCUAACUACGUGCCAGCCGCCGCGGUAACAC
rnacentral:rRNA from 1 species